rnacentral:rRNA from 1 species
AUUGAACGCUGGCGGCAGGCCUAACACAUGCAAGUCGAGCGAGCGGCGCACGCGUGAGUAUUGUAUGGGGUACUGCGCCAUAGAGGGGGGUAUCCACUCGAAACGGUGUAUCAUACCCCACACUCUCGGAUAACCCCAUAUGGGAUUAUCUAGUAGGUAAGGUAAUGGCUCACCUCGGCGACGAUCCCUCGCUGGUCUGAGAGGAUGAUCAGCCACACUGGAACUGAGACACGGUCCAGAAUCCUACGGGAGGCAGCAGUGGGGAAUAUUGCACAAUGGGCGCAAGCCUGAUGCAGCCAUGCCGCGUGUAUGAAGAAGGCCCUAGGGUUGUAAAGUACGUUCAGGCGGGAGGCGUUACCGACAGAAGAAGCACCGGCUAACUCCGUGCCAGCAGCCGCGGUAAUAC